rnacentral:rRNA from 1 species
AUUGAACGCUGGCGGCAGGCCUAACACAUGCAAGUCGAGCGGAUGACGGGAGCUUGCUCCUUGAUUCAGCGGCGGACGGGUGAGUAAUGCCUAGGAAUCUGCCUGGUAGUGGGGGACAACGUUUCGAAAGGAACGCUAAUACCGCAUACGUCCUACGGGAGAAAGCAGGGGACCUUCGGGCCUUGCGCUAUCAGAUGAGCCUAGGUCGGAUUAGCUAGUAGGUGAGGUAAUGGCUCACCUAGGCGACGAUCCGUAACUGGUCUGAGAGGAUGAUCCGUCACACUGGAACUGAGACACGGUCCAGACUCCUACGGGAGGCAGCAGUGGGGAAUAUUGGACAAUGGGCGAAAGCCUGAUCCAGCCAUGCCGCGUGUGUGAAGAAGGUCUUCGGAUUGUAAAGCACUUUAAGUUGGGAGGAAGGGCAGUAAGUUAAUACCUUGCUGUUUUGACGUUAACGACAGAAUAAGCACCGGCUAACUCUGUGCCAGCCGCCGCAGUAACAC